CGAAGAGAAGACCGUGGAAGAAGGACGAUUAGUGAAAAUUUGUUUAAAAAUUAAAAUUUGUCUUAUUUUUGAUGUAAAAAGUAUCUGCAGCUCAACAAAAAUUGGUAUUACAAGUGACACGCUAUAAAUGUAUGAAUCGUGCGGAUUUCUUUCGGCCUCCACAGGUUAUCUUUGCAGAAGGCAGUAGGGAACGGGCACAACGACAUUUUCCUCCUUAGCCGACAGUCCAUCUCAAUAUAAAUUAGACACAAUCAUAUUUCAAUUAUAACAACACGGAAAUCCAUACAAGAAUCAUCAUUAACUAGGAUUAGUGGAGGCAGACAUGUUAACUCACAAAGGUUGCCAAGGAGGACGCAAGAAAAUGCAGGUAUCUUUUGUCAUACGAGACGCAGAGGAGAAGCAACAUAGAAAUGGUGUUAAUGCAUUGCAACUAGAUCCCAACAACGGCAAGCUCUAUUCAGCUGGACGCGAUGCUAUUAUUCGUGUAUGGAAUACAACAAAAGAAUCAACUGAGAAAUAUAUACAAUCAAUGGAGCACCACAAUGAUUGGGUUAAUGAUAUAGUGCUGUGUUGCAAUGGCAGAAAUUUAAUUAGCGCCAGCUGUGAUACCACCGUUAAGGUGUGGAAUGCCCACAAAGGCUUCUGCAUGUCAACGUUACGUACACAUCGUGACUACGUCCAAGCAUUAGCUUAUGCCAGGGAUCGAGAGCAAGUGGCAAGUGCAGGACUAGACAAGGCGAUUUUCCUUUGGGACGUAAAUACGCUAACCGCACUGACUGCCAGCAACAACACCGUUACAACCUCUAGUCUCACCGGUUCCAAGGAUUCCAUAUACAGUCUGGCUAUGAAUCCUUCAGGUACGGUUAUUGUUAGCGGUUCCACAGAGAAUAUAUUGCGCAUUUGGGAUCCACGCACCUGUACACGUAGCAUGAAACUGCGAGGUCACACAGAAAAUGUACGUGCACUGGUCGUGUCACCUGACGGUAAUCAAGUGGUCUCCGGCAGUUCAGAUGGCACAAUCAAAGUGUGGAAUCUGGGCCAGCAACGAUGCAUACAAACAAUACACGUACAUAAAGAAGGCGUCUGGGCGCUUUUGAUGAGCGAAAACUUCCAGUAUGUGAUUUCGGGCAGUCGUGAUAAGAAUAUUAUUGUAACAGAGUUGCGUAACCCUAGCAACUCGGUAUUGGUUUGUGAGGAGCGCGCGCCCGUGCUCAGUCUUGGAUAUAACAUUGAUAAGACAGGCGUUUGGGCAACCACCUGGAAUUCGGAUAUACGAUGCUGGAAAUUGCCACUCUAUGAUAAAUGUACAUUGACGUCUAGUGGUGGCAUGGAUGCACAAUGGGCGAUAGCAUCCAACACGGAGUUGACCUGCUUCAAAGGUGGCGCGGCAGUAAAGAAAUGCUGUGUCUUGAAUGAUAAACGUUAUAUUGUAACCAAGGACACUGAGGAAAAUGUUGCGAUCUAUGAUGUCCUGCGUGUUAUGAAGAAGGAAGAUUUAGGCAAAGUGGAUUUCGACGAUGAGUUAAAGAAACGUAAUAAACAAGUAUACAUUCCAAACUGGUUUACGGUAGACUUGAAAACCGGAAUGCCAACUAUUGUAUUAGGACAGGAUGAAGUAGAUUGCUUUGCAGCAUGGGUAUCCAUAGAGGCUGGUCUUCCAGAAUGCGCGGAACCAACGUCGGAGACUAAGAUAAAUUACGGAAAAUUAUUGCUGGAAGCACUAUUAGAAUACUGGACUCCUCCACACAGCUUGCCGCAAAGCGAGCUAGAACCUGAUAGUCGUGGCAACGGUUACUUUCAAGUACCUAAACAUACACCAGUUAUAUUUAGUGAGGUUGGUGGUCGUACAGUAUGCCGGCUUUUGGUACGCGAUGCAGCUGGUGAGAGCGAGAGUACAUUACUGCAUGAAACCGUGCCACAAUGGGUCACGGAUGUGGUGAUCGAAAAGACUAUACCGAAGUUUUUGAAAAUUCCCUUCUUCCUGCAGCCACAUCCACAAAUGAUUAAGCCAGAACGUACCAAAAAGGACCGACUAGUUGCCAACGAAUUUAUACAGUGUCGCAAGGUGUGCGAACACGUACUGGAAAAAGUACUCGGUGCAGAGACAACUCCUAGCGGUGGGAACGCUUCAAAUUCCUCGCAAAAUAGUCAAAGUGAUGCGAAUUCCGAGGGCUCGCAAGUACCUGCCGAAGAUCGAAUUGAAUUAUGGUGCAACGAUGUUGUGGUUGAUCCUAAUAUGGAUUUGCGAACAGUGCGUCACUUCAUCUGGAAACAGUCGACCGAUUUGACUUUCCAAUACAAGACAAAGCCAAAUUUUAGCUACGAUGGUAAACUAUGAGCACACACAACAGUCGAAAUGUGAUCAUAACAACAUUUGCAACAACAUAUUUAUACAGAGAAAACGCUUCUCUUCAUAUAUCCAUCUUAAACACCGCAGCUCAGCUUAUCAAGUAAGCCGUGGGAAGUAACGGAUGCGCUUGCGCUCUGGCCUUAACGUGGAUGAGUACAAUUUAAGCUUAAUUAGUUUUCGUUCUUGCUUCACGCCGCCAGUUUAUACAUUUCAACCGAAUAUUUCUGAAUUGAAUGUUUUUUUGUUUGUUUUCCAAAAGAAAAUGCCGAUAUUUCGAUACAUGACCAACAGAAUACAGAAUUAUCAUCGAAUUAGUAACAAUUGUAUUAAUCUCUGUUUUGAUUCUGCAAUAUUACUUUUCCUGUUUCUUUUUUUAUAUGUUUAGUACGAAAUAUUUAAGUGUGGCGAUUUAUAGCACUUAUUAAAAUUUUGCAUUUAAACGAGGUGUCGUAUGUAUUUGUGUAUGAAGCUAGUAGCAAUUUUAUUUUGCUGUUACAAGCAGUGUUGUUGUAGUAAAGUGCAUAUACGCUAGAAUCAUAAAUAUUCUGUUAGAAGUAAAAACAUUUUGGAUUGUAAAACAAUAAUAGUGUUCAUAAGUAUCUACCUGCUCUUUUAUGUUUAAAAACUUUGUUUGCAAAAUGUAUUGUAUUAUCUAUACAUAUCUGUGCUUAAGCUUCUCUUUCUCUUCUCUGAGUCGUCCUCCUUGCUCGGACUUUAUUUAUACAUAUAUUGUACGGAUUGUAGCGACAGUUAAGAGAUUAGUCUUGGAUAAUUUAUCUAUAUAAUAUGUAUUAAUGCAUUAAAUGUACGUGGCGCGUAUUAUCUACACGUUAUUUACUUUAACAUAAGUUUAAAGCUGUUCUAUACAAAAUUAUCAUACAUACAUACAUACAUAUAAAACAAAAACAAAAUAAAAUACAAAAUCAAAAAUCUAGCUAAUAUAGUAACAACUAUUAUAUAAUAUUAAAAUCCAUUAAAUUAUAAAGAAGUGAAAAUGUCACACAAGGAAUAUGAGUAAUUACAUUCAUGCCAAUAAACCGAUAAAUUUGUAUAUAAGUCCGGAGUAUGGGUGUUUAUUAUAUGAAUGCACGCAUGGACCUAUUUAUUUGUAGAUGAAUUUGUAUAUACUGGACACGUAUUGGGAAUCAAUGGAAUUUUACCGGAUUUUGAAAUAUUUUAACAGCGUUGCUGGUAACGAUUCCUCCUGAAAGUAUUAACAUUUUAA
rnacentral:misc_RNA from 1 species